AAUAAGAUGGCUGAGGUUAUAGGCGGUAGAUUGUAAAUCUAUAAACAAGUUGAUUACUUUCUUAUU
rnacentral:tRNA from 1 species